rnacentral:tRNA from 1 species
GCCUGGGUGGCGGAAUAGGUAGACGCAAGGGACUUAAAAUCCCUCGGCAAUUAUUGUCGUGCCGGUUCAAUUCCGGCCCCAGGUACCA